AUAGUCGUAUCUAAUCAGCUGUUUGCUAAAAUUUAAAUAACAAAAUGCCACGCGCAAGUGAAAAAGACAGAAAUUGUAGCAGUUUUGUGCCUAAAUCAUAUGAUUAAUUUACUGGAUAUGGGUUACAUUUUUUACGGCAUUUAUUUACAUAUUUAUUACACACCUUUACUAUUUUCCAGGCGACGAGGAAGAUGAAGCGAUUGAAAAUUUCAAUUCAUACAUGCAUUGUGUGCUAAAUAAUCGCAGAGGUGUUCACCUUGGCAUUCCAAAAUCAUGCGAAUGGGAGCAAACGGUGCUCAGAAAAUUCGAUGAUAACAGGUUCAAUCAAAUGAUUAAAAAGAUGAGAAGGAAUAUUUGAAGUAAGUUUACAAAAAUGACUGGACAUUGCUAGUAGUGAUAUCACACGAUAUCUGUUUAAGUUGCAGCGGCUUGGUGGUUUUACGUUUAAUCAAACCGCUGCCUUUGAAACUGCACAAUGAAAGAGAAACUUUGCAAUAUCAUCUAUGACAUCGAGAUGGAACAGUGAGUAGCGUUGGAAACAGCUGUGCUUGUCACUAAUAAAUAGCUUUCAACUAAUAUAAUAUUUUUUUGUACAAGCAUAUCGUGAGCGUGUGGAUGUUAUUGAAAAUGAAAAAAAUGUUACAGAAAAAAAAUAAAAAAAAUUCUAAUAUUCACAAA